UUUUAUGAUAAAUAAAGAGUAGUGGCUUAGUGGGAUUUAUACUGAUUAUAUGUAUGGAGGUCUAGAGUUCAAACAUUACUCUAAUUAAAUGUUAGUUUUAUUUUAUUUAUAUAGAAAAGUAUUAGAGAGUCUUUAUUUUUAGAAAUAUUAUAAAAAAAUUAUUAUUAUUAUUUAAAUUAAAUUAAUUCAUAGGGUCUUCUUUCAAAAUUUUCUCAACAGGCUUUGGGACUUUUUAUGUAAAUUUUUCCAUAAAUUUAUUAUUUGACUUUCUUGAAUCUUCUUAGUCGGUGCGGCAGAAGAGAGAGGGAGAGCUUACGAUUUUCUUUAUUUUCUUUUCCUCUCCUUAUCCUGAUCAAGUGCUGGACGCAGGGAGAGAUCAAGCGAAGCUUUAUCCUUUGUUUUUUUUCAUCAUUCUCCUUCCUUCCCUUCCCCACCGUCUUCAACAUCGCCGGUUUGGUCGUGGGUAAGCCGUCGUUCAUCGUCACUAGGAAGUCCAGAUCGCUGUUUCUCCCCCUCCCCUGCUUCGUCUCACUUUCUGUUUAGUCUCCUCAACUGCUGUUUAGUUCGUUUGUCGUCAAAAAUUAUGGCAACCGAAGUCCUUCUCUUCUUGUUUUUUUUCAACUGUCGCCGACUAAGGAGGGUUCUCUCUGUAACCUUGCUACGUUCAGGUCCUCCUCUGUUCUUCUCGUCUUCGUCUGUCUUCGCCACUCGUAAUUCGUGUUCCUGCCGUGGGUGGGUGUCAAAGCUGAAUCCCGCCAUUGGGGUGCUGCUCAAAGAAGAUUACACAAGAUCACAAGUAUUACUGGGGCAUUUGAUCAAACUGGUCCUCUUCUGUUCUUCUCGUCUUCGUCUGUCUUCGCCACUCGCAAUUCGUGUUCCUGUCGUGGGUAAGUGUGAAAGCUGAAUCCUGCCAUUAGGGUGCUGCUCCUUUGCCUCUUCUUAGCCUCGCCCCUUGCAAGGAGUUUCAGCACGGCCUUGCAUUUGGAUUUCUUCUCGUGGCUUACAAGCUACCAUAAUAAUUCAACUUUAACGUUGUGGACGUCCUCAUCAGAGUACGAUAGACUUGUAUACCCAUGUUCAUCACAAGAAGAGUUGUCCCAUGAUUUUAGCCCCUCAAUAAUGUGAACCCCACAAGAUGUCCUGCAUAUGCAAAUACUCAUAGUCAAAUUGCUUUAAAAACAAAAGUAAGAAUCAAUAAUAGAAAGUCACAUGUUAAUUUAAUGCACGUAUCUGUUUGGAGAUUAAGUUGUGCCCAUUUAACAUUAUUAUCAAAUUCUUUAUCAUUGUGAAAUAGUUGGGGUUUCACUGCAUACAACAAUUGGUGGAAGCAAUCUCAUACAACUAUAGUCAUUUUUUCUUCAUUUUCAUAUCUUCUAAUUUCUUCUUACCACAAGAAUGCUUGUGUGUAGUUUUUUAUCCUUUAAUCUAUUGUAUUUCCCUUCCAUCCACCAAUAAGUCAAGGAUGUAGAAGUUCAUGGUCUCUAUGCCCAAAGCAUAACAAAAUGAGUGACUUUGGAAGCAUGUGGGGUUAAAGAUCCACUAGAAAUCUGCAAUGUUGUACCUAACAUUAUCUUU